UUUUUUAACAGUAUGGAACGGUUUAAGCUUGUCUGGAGGGUAUAACCCUUACUUUUUCGACAGUUCUUUAACUGAAAAUGCAUAACACGAUUUGCUAAACAAUUACCUACUUCCUGGACUGCGCGAUUUUUUAGAUGAUUACAACGAACUGUACUACCAACAUGAUGGAGCACCUACCCAUUCUACGAUUAAAGUUCGUAAUUUUUUCAAUCUUGAAUUCAAUAGUCAUGUCUAGUUAUGGGAAUAAUCAAAUGAUUUUGAUAAUCCAGAUAUUAUAAUCGAAAUAUUGUAUCUAAUCGAAUAGAUUAAGAUCGUUAUCUAAUCAAUAAACAUUUUGAUUUUCAUAAUCGUGUGAUUUAUUCGAUGUACCUAAUCGAGUAGAUAAGAAUCACUCAAUAUAUUGUGAAAAUUCAUGCUAUUUUAGAUUCUGAGCAGUUACACAAAUGUCGACUAGAAAUUUUUCUCCAGUCAAAAAAAAACAAUAAACCUGAUUUGUUGCAUUUUGGAACUAGAUGGUUUAUAAUUUGAUAUGAUAUUAAUAGUCUCGAUGGAAUGUAAUUCGGAAUCUGGAUCGUCUGCUGCAGAGACAAAAACAAUAUGUGAUGAAGGAUGUUUCCGUUUCAAAUGCUCUUUAGAAAACAAGUUAAAACGAUAUUGAGAAAUUUACUUUUUUUAUAGGUACCUACAUUUUUAUUUUAUAACAUUCAUUAUUUAUUAAAUCUACAACAUUCUUACCUUUUAAAUUAGUUGUAUUUCCGUAAAACUUUAAUUUUUUUUUUACAGAUUUGACAAUGAACUACACUUUUAUCAGCAUUUUUUUUUAAAUGCUCCCACACUACAAAACGUUUUUGACUGCCUGAUCGCAUUUUAAAAUUUAAAAAUUUAUUUUGGAUUUUUUACGAUAUGCAUUAAUUUCGUAUACGAUGUUUUACGAUACGCGAACGGUUUCAAUAAAUGAAACAAACGAUACAAUAAAAU